rnacentral:rRNA from 1 species
ACGGGAGGCAGCAGUGAGGAAUAUUGGUCAAUGGGCGCGAGCCUGAACCAGCCAAGUAGCGUGCAGGAUGACGGCCCUCCGGGUUGUAAACUGCUUUUAGUUGGGAAUAAAAGAGCGUACGUGUACGCUGUAUUGUAUGUACCAUCGGAAAAAGGACCGGCUAAUUCCGUGCCAGCAGCCGCGGUAAUACGGAAGGUCCGGGCGUUAUCCGGAUUUAUUGGGUUUAAAGGGAGCGUAGGCGGACGUUUAAGUCAGUGGUCAAAUGUCAGUGCCCAACACUGGCCUGCCAUUGAUACUGGAGGGCUUGAAUACACACAAGGAAGGUGGAAUUCGUCGUGUAGCGGUGAAAUGCUUAGAUAUGACGAAGAACUCCGAUUGCGAAGGCAGCCUUCUGGAGUGCGAUUGACGCUGAGGCUCGAAAGCGCGGGUAUCAAACAGGAUUAGAUACCCUGGUA